rnacentral:rRNA from 1 species
ACGGAAGGCAGCAGUGGGGAAUAUUGGACAAUGGGGGAAACCCUGAUCUAGCGACGCCGCGUGAGUGAAGAAGUAUUUCGGUAUGUAAAGCUCUAUCAGCAGGAAAGAAAAUGACGGUACCUGACUAAGAAGCCCCGGCUAACUACGUGCCAGCAGCCGCGGUAAUACGUAGGGGGCAAGCGUUAUCCGGAUUUACUGGGUGUAAAGGGAGCGUAGACGGCCACGCAAGUCUGAAGUGAAAGCCCGGGGCUCAACCCCGGAACUGCUUUGGAAACUGUGAGGCUAGAGUGCAGGAGAGGUAAGCGGAAUUCCUAGUGUAGCGGUGAAAUGCGUAGAUAUUAGGAGGAACACCAGCGGCGAAGGCGGCUUACUGGACUGUAACUGACGUUGAGGCUCGAAGGCGUGGGGAGCAAACAGGAUUAGAUACCCUGGUA